rnacentral:rRNA from 1 species
UUCGAUUAUGGCCAGAUUAACGCUGGCGGGAUGUUUACACAUGCAAGUCGAACGGCAGCACGGACUUCGGUCUGGUAAGGAGUGGCGAACGGGUGAGUAAUGUAUCGGAACGUGCCUAGUAGCGGGGAUAACUACGCGAAAGCGUAGCCAAUACCGCAUACGUUCUUCGGGGGUAUGGGACCUUCGCCUCGCACCAGAGCGGCUGAUAUCGAUUAGCUGGCUGGUGGGCAACGGCUCGCCAAGGCGACGAUCCGUAGCUGGUUUGAGAGGACGACCAGCCAUUACCGGACCAAGAGACACGGCCCAGACUCCGCGGAGGCAGGCGAAAUUCUGGACACAAACUCCUGAUCCAGCCAUCCCGGGCGUGUGCGAUAAAGCGCCUUGCCAGGCAACUUUUUGCAGGAAAGAAACGGCACGAUAACACCGCAAUUGACGGUACCUGUAGAAUAAGCACCGGCUAACUACGUGCCAGCAGCCGUACUAGGUGCAGCAACUGGAAACGACGGGCGAAGGCAGCAGGCGAAGUUCGGAAAGAAAGAUGGAAACUCAGAGCUUAACUUUGGAACUGUAUUUUUUAAUUACCGAGCUAGAGGUCAGAGGAGGUGGAAUUUGCGUAGCAGGAAAUGCGUAGAUAUGGAGGAACACCGAUGGCGAAGGCAGCCUCCCGGGAUAACACUGACGCUCGUGCACGAAAGCGUGGGAGCAAACAGAUUAGACACCCGCAAUUCAAUGCCCAACGAUGUCAAUUCAGUUGGGGCCUUCGGGCCUUAGCAGCGCAGCGAUCACAGCAGCUGACCGCCUGGGGAGUAUGGCUGCAAGAUUAAAACUCGCGCCGAACUGACGGGGACCCGCACAAGCGGUGGAUGAUGUGGAUUAAUUGAUGCAACGCGAAAACCUUACCUACCUUGACAUGUUCCGGAAUCCGAAGAGAUUUGGGAGUGCUCGCAAGAGAACCGGAACACAGGUGCUGCAUAUGGCUGUCGUCAGCUCGUGCCGAGAUGUUGGGUUAAGUCCUGCAACGAGCAACUCUGCUUCGCCAGUUGCUACGAAAGGCAAAUUUCCACGAGACUGCCGGUGACAAACCGGAGGAAGGUGGGGAUGACGUCAAGUCCUCAUGGCCCCAGUGGUAGGGGCAGUCACAUGUCAUACAUCGUCGGGACAGAGGGUCGCCAACUCCGCGAGGGGAGCUAAUCCUCGCAGAAAACCCGAUCGUAAGUCCGGAUCGCAGUCUGCAACCUCGACUGCGUGAAGUCGAAUCGCUAGUGGCCCGCGGAUCAGCAUGUCGCGGUGAAUACGUUCCUCGGGUCUUGUACACACCGCCCGUCACACCAUGUGAGUGGGCUUUACCAGGCCAGUUAGCCUAACCGGGAGGGCGAUUACCACGGUAGGAUUCAUGACUGGGGUGAAGUCGUAACAAGGUAA